AGUAGGACUAGCAAAAAAUCGGGGACUAGCCCAGGUGGUGAGCUUCCUGGAUGACCGAAGCCCUGAGUACAGGGCAGUCGUCAACAGUUCAACACGCAGAAUAGGUUUGCGUCUUGAUAUGCUGUGUGGACGAGGGCAUGCCCACGGUACAUCUUAACCUAUCCGGGGGUCGGAUAGGCGAAAGUCCAGUAUUGGACUGGGAGUACAGCCUGAUAGGGUGUUGCAGAGACCCAUCUGAUAGGCUAGUAUAAAAAACUCUGCUGUACAUGGCACAUGGAGUU
rnacentral:other from 1 species